AGUUUCUUUCUCUAAACUGCUUGGUAAAAUGUCUGAAAUUCAAAGUGAAUUGAAAGUGGAUUUUAUAUUUUAGGUGAAAAAAGCUGAAUUAGAAAAUUCUGUAGUAUUUUCAGUUCAGCUAUUUUAGACUAAAAUUUGAAAUUCAUCCUGAAUUCACUUUAAGUUAUUAUAACCUGGGGGGCGGGACCUGACCUGCAAGCAGAGCAGUCGCAUGGUGGACGAGCUCCCACCACACAAGCUGUUUACAGGGAAAUACUAGCAGAUCUUAUGCCUGAAUUGAUGCCGGGGUGUGCUACCC